GACGAACGCUGGCGGCGUGCUUAACACAUGCAAGUCGAGCGGUAAGGCCCUUUCGGGGGUACACGAGCGGCGAACGGGUGAGUAACACGUGGGUAACCUGCCCUACACUUUGGGAUAAGCCCGGGAAACUGGGUCUAAUACCGGAUAUGAUCUUUUGCCGCAUGGUGGAAGGUGGAAAGUUCCGGCGGUGUGGGAUGGGCCCGCGGCCUAUCAGCUUGUUGGUGGGGUGAUGGCCUACCAAGGCGACGACGGGUAGCCGGCCUGAGAGGGCGACCGG
rnacentral:rRNA from 1 species